UCACGGGGUUAUAUCGGAGCCAUACGGGAGUGAUCACGGGGUUAUAUCAGAGCGAUAUGGGAGUGAUCACGGGGUUAUAUCGGAGCCAUACGGGAGUGAUCAUGGGGUUAUGUCGGAGCGAUAUGGGAGUGAUCACGGGGUUAUAUCGGAGCGAUACGGGAGUGAUCACGGGGUUAUAUCGGAGCGAUACGGGAGUGAUCACGGGGUUAUAUCGGAGCGAUACGGGAGUGAUCACGGGGUUAUAACAGAGCGAUAUGGGAGUGAUCACAGGGACAAUUUAAUCGAAGAACUGUUGAUACGGGAAAAGAGGGAGAGAAAAAAAAGAGUGACAUAGAGCUGGAGAGUGCACAUAACUAAAUUGGAGGGGUCCAGGGGGAGGUGUAAAAAAAAGAGAGAAAGGAAGAGAGAAAGAAUUAAAUGAAAUAAAGAACAAUAAAGCUAAUCAAACUGCUGACUGGAAGAAAGUAAUGGACAUAGCACAAAUCAAACAGGUGACUACAUGGAAAAAUGGAGAAAGGAAUCAAGAAUAAAUAAAGGAGUAAACAAAAAAAAAAGAAAGAAAGAAAUGGCAUCUUGACUGAAGCUAAUAUACCUGGAGCUCAGUUAUAUCGCUUGUACUCUGUAGCAUUAGGACAGAUGAGCCGGUGUUAGGCGCUAACACACCGAGCCUUUUCUCUUAGCCUCACUAGCAUGUAGCACUGUAUUCAUCUUUCUACACCACAUGCUACGGCGUCGCUAAGCUCCACUUCUUUCGCUCUGACUCCAUUAGCUGCUCGGCUGCUUUUUGAGUAACGGCGAGAAAAUGAGGCUCUGAGGAAAAAAGUGACAAUUAAAGUCACAUGACUCCGAAAGUAAAGGUCAAUUCCGCAUAUCAUUAACCUUUUCGUUAGAUUUUCAGUGCUAGCGCUUUAGCAUCCGGGUGGAAAGUCACGCAGCGCUGUGGAGCUCUCAGACAUGGCCAGAACGUUGUAAGGGAUUAUGGGAAAAAAUGUGUAUACUGGUGUUGGAAUUCAUGAGUGACAUUCAGGAGAACAAAAAAAAGUCUCCGCCCCCUGUCUCCAUGGAAACAGAAAGUUCCAGAAGCACAGGAUAUAAAAAACGUUUGAUAAUAACAAUACAGCAGUUUCCCAGCAUUCCCUUCUAUUCUUUCUUCUUUUUCUUUCUUUUUUUUACCUGUGUUUGGCUUUCUUUGCAAUGUCCACCCUUCUUUCUUUUUCUUUCUUUCUUUCUUUCUUUCUCACGAAGCGCUCGAUGGCUUUAGCGCUCCACUGAUCCGCCUAAGCUAAGCUAAUCGACUCUUGUUGUCUCUGCAUUAAAGGAAGGAAGGAACAGAACGAAUGAAUGAAUUCAUUUCACUCAGCGAGCAGCGGAGGUUUGGAGAAUGAUGAAUGCUAACGUUUCCCUCGAACACACCCGAAUCAAUUCCCCAUCAAACGCUACGAUGCUAACAAACUAAAUGAAUACACAGUGCUCUAAUGCACCAUGGAUAAUAAGCAAAAACACAUACAUACAGUACCAGGCUCAUAGAGUGAGUACUGUAAUUCAAACUAAUGUCCAACCAUCCAGCAUUGUUACCACGGAGACAGAGCUGCUAAAUCCUCAUGAAGAAGGAAACAGAAAACUAGCCUAGCAUGAAUGCUCCAUCUUCAACGCCGCUCAGAGUCCUGCUCUAGUCGUUUAAAGGUCAGCGCUGGACUGCGGGGAUUUCAGUGUGUGUGUGUGUGUCUGUGGUUCAAUAUGUUGCCUUUUAGGGAAGUCAUUUCAAAGUUUAGGAGGAAAGAAACACACACACACACACACACACACACACACACACACACACACCAGUGUGUGAUAAUUACGUCUGGAUGAGAUGCAUGAGGACAACUCCGUUCCAGCGCUGAUGAGGCUGCGUGAUUAGAGCGGCACCCCGGCGAUUCUCUCCACUUCUCUCUUUAAUUGCUGCGGUGGCCAUCUUGAUUAGCAUCUCGACAGGAGCGCCGUCUCCUCCUGCUGCAUUUCGAAAGAGGUUGUGACUGAUGCAACUUCCAUCUGAUCCUGAAUCUGAUCCGUCUCUCCGCACGAUAAACAUCCCGACGGACGUAUCGGAUCAAGGAGCUGUUGACUGUUUGCAUUUUUAAAAAAUAUUUUUGCCAAACAGCAAUUAGCAUAAGCGCCUCUCUGAAGACUUCAACUCGCAUUAAAUUAACUCAAAAUACAUCUAAACAUCUGAUGAAUAACGGAGUCAAUGGGGCGAACGUGUUGGUGCUUCAUCCCCAUCUUACAUUAAAUCAUGGCAUUUUUCAUUGGUAUUUAUCCACUAGACUUUCAAAGAUGUUUUAAAUGUCAAAUAUUUUCCAUUUUAAUUAAAGCCAGGUUUCGUUAAUACUCUAAUAAAUAUAUUAUUUACAAAAACAAACAUAAAAAACAUCCUCAAGUUCUAAGCUGUA